GAUUUGAUGUCAUGCCUUCAAUAGCUUUUUCAUUGAUUGAUGGUGCUAUUGUCAGGCCAAUAAAAAGUUCUUUAUUGGCUUUUCGUUGGCUGAUUGGAAUCGUUGGAAAAGUUUUUAUCUAUUCAUCGUGCUGUUUACGUCAAUUACAUUU